GAUUAAAAUCAAAUUGUUUUGGGACAGCAGAGGAUGAAGAAACUCAUUUUGACUGAAGUUAUUGGAUGAGACAUGGCUGUGGACAACUUCAGAGAAGAUAUAUUUAAGCAGAACCUUAAACUUAUGUCAGAAUUUUUAAUCACCAGAGAUCAGCAAAGGCAAAGGCAUAUAGACUAUUUCUCAGAUGCCCUUGUCAAGAAGAUGAGAGAAUGUGGGCAGAGGAAAUCCCUGAAAAACUAGAUGGCACAAGUUACUCAGAAGAAAUGAAAGGAUUUUCCAUAAUUCAAACAGGAGGUGGAAGAGGAAGUGUGGGAGUAAUUACUGGAUUAAAAUCACUGAAAGACAAGGUUGUCUUUAAGGAAGACUGAGAAGAAAAGAAGCUUGCUCAAGGUCACAUAGAGCUGGAAUUUAAAUUCAGAUCUAUUAUACUCUUAAGGACUGUGGAAGGCAAAUGGAUUCCUGAUUCUUAGCUGAGCACAAGGUUGCCCAGUAAAAGAAUUACAUAUAUCCACCUAUUUUGCAUCUUUAUGGGCCAUAUGGAUAGUUCUGACCAAUUACAUGAACAAGAAAUAUUGAGUGGAGCCUCUGCUUUUAGAGCAAAAUCUGAUCCAGAGACUGGGGAUGCUGGAGGAGCAUCAAGGCUGGGAAAGUAACAUGCACUGUGUUCGCAAUCAACAGAAAAGAUAUUUUUAAACAAAAACAAUUUUCCAAGUUUCCAGGAAGAGAAACAAAAGGCUUUUCUAAAAUGAAAGAAACUGUUCUUCUCAUUCUGUGACUUUUAUGUCACUUGGACAACAAGCCAGUGCUUAGGAACGGUUAUUUUCCUGUCGACAUCGCUGCAUGGAUACUUCUUAGAAGGACAUAACAGCAUUAGCACUCAGUCCCAGGUUCUGCUCACCCUCCAAUGGCAGUCGUCUUCAA